AAGGGAGACCUAAUUCAGGUAUGGGACGAAAAAAAAGUAGUCGCUACCAAGAAUCAAUCCCAAAAGGUCGGAGCGAGGUAUGAGGCUUUCAAACUAGGUUCUGGGUUCAAACAAGACCUGAAUCAGGAACAAGGGCUAUUAGCUCAGGUGGCUAGAGCGCACCCCUGAUAAGGGUGAGGUCCCUGGUUCGAGUCCAGGAUGGCCCACCUGCACAGGUGGCAAAAACAAGAGAAGCGAGGAAUCAGCACCUUAUCUUAUCUAUAUAUAAGAGAGAAUGCUGGCUCUGAGUAAAGAGUCCAGAGGAACCUUGAAAACUGCAUAGAGCUAGGUGAAAAAGCCAAAAAAGAAGACCGCAA
rnacentral:tRNA from 1 species